CGCAGGCGCAGUGCUCGGGCUGGAGGGAGAACUAGUGUCUGCCCCACUUCCGCGCAGGGAUUCUCCAUCUCAGCUCUUUGUACAGGCUUCUCUCGCACCACUACCUGGACUGUUUGGUGCUCUGUUUCACCGGUCUCAUCAUCGCAGUCCGCUGGAUGUCCGCCUCAAAUACGCACGCGUGAAAGCCACGGCGAGGGUCCAAGGCGUGGAAGGCGCCACACACCGAUGACCUAACACGUUUAGUCUACUUCAGAGACGGCGUAACACUAAACAGCAGGUGGAAAGUCACGGGACCUACGGGAGGCAGUGGGAAGGCAGGUGAGCUCUGCACAUCUGUGUUUUUAUAUCUGUCCCCUACCCUGUGGACCCCAUUACGUGUGCUUGUCCUGCGGUUUUAGUCUCUUGUGUAAUUGCACAGCAGGAGUAAGAGUGGCAGCCAGAACCAGGGUGGGUGCGUUGAGUUUUGCGUGGCAGGAGCAUUUUGAAAGAACCCAUGGGGACAGACUGUGCAGGGAUGGCAGUUGACUCCCAAAGCCGAUGGACUUGGAGUGUGAGUGUGAGCUGUGCAAGAAGCUUCCUGUCCCUGCAUAAUGCAUGUCCUUAGCCAUAGUUCACAAACUUAGUUUUGUGGUUUCAGCCUAACGUGGCAGAUAGAUCUUAAAGGAUGAAGCAGUAUACAUCAGUAGUUGUUAAUAGAGCCAUACCAGCUCUGUCUAUAUAACAGGGAAAUAGAGUUAGCCAGAGAGGUUAAAUGACUUGGCUAUCCCAUAUAUAAACACAAACUGGGUUUUGAGUACACAUUAGUGUUUGGUGUUCUAUGGGCUAGGCACUGUGGGAAAAACUAAUACAGAUAAAGAUGUCCCUCCUUUAACAACCUACCUGUUUAAUAACUGUUUAGACUUCCCACCGUUCACUCCGACAUAUUACCUGUCUUUUUGUGUGUGUGUAGUUCUGUACAUCUUGUUGAUGGAAUCUCGGUGUCUUUUUUUGUACAGUACACCUUGUUUAUACAGUACUAUGAUUUUUGCUGAUUGUACAGUACAGUACUAUAGUUUUAUGUUCUGUUAUACAUUACAGUACUGCAUGUAAGAGUUAUGCAAAUAAAAGCAAAGGC
rnacentral:lncRNA from 1 species